GGGCGAGUGCGGGUGAGGGUGCAAUAUUUACAUUUACACAGGAUCGAGUUUCAGAGAUUUUUGCAGUUCGUUCCAGUCAUUGGCAGCAGAGAACUGGAAGGAGAGGCGGCCAAAGGAAGAAUUGGUUUUGGGGGUUGACCAGAGAGAUAUACCUACUGGAGCGCGUGCUACAGAUCACAUUUCGAGAAGGAAGAGUGAAGAAGAGAAGGAUGAGGAGGAAGAGGAGGGGAAAGAAGAGGGUGAAAGAACUAGAUUGAAACGUUUCUCUGUUUUUAAAUAAAUAGAGAACUCUCACUCUCCUCCUCCUGUUCUGAUUGGAAGUGUGUUCGACCUUCAUCUCUCUCUGAGCCAGAGACAACCCUCACAGCAGGAGACGCCUUCU